rnacentral:rRNA from 1 species
GACGAACGCUGGCGGCGUGCUUAACACAUGCAAGUCGAACGGAAAGGCCCUGCUUUUGUGGGGUGCUCGAGUGGCGAACAGGUGAGUAACACGUGAGUAACCUGCCCUUGACUUUGGGGUAACUUCAGGAAACUGGGGCUAAUACCCGAUAGGAGCUCCUGCUGCAUGGUGGGGGUUGGAAAGUUUCGGCGUUUGUGGAUGGACUCGCGGCUUAUCAGCUUGUUGGUGGGGUAGUGGCUUACCAAGGCUUUGACGGGUAGCCGGCCUGGGAGGGUGAACGGGCACAUGGGGCCUGCGGUACGGCCCAGACUGCUACGGGAGGCAGCGGGGGGGAACAUUGCACAAUGGGCGGACGCGUGAUGUAGCGAUGUCGCGUGCGGAAUGACGGGUUUCGGGUUGUAAACCGAUUUCGCCUGUGACGAAGCCUGAGUGACGGUACUUGGUAAAGAAGCACCGGCUAACUACGUG